UACGAAGGGGGCUAGCGUUGUUCGGAAUCACUGGCGUAAAGGGCGCGUAGGCGGCUUUAUAAGUCGGGGGUGAAAGCCUGUGGCUCAACCACAGAAUUGCCUUCGAUACUGUAGAGCUUGAGACCGGAAGAGGUAAGUGGAACUGCGAGUGUAGAGGUGAAAUUCGUAGAUAUUCGCAAGAACACCAGUGGCGAAAGCGGCUCACUGGCCCGAUACUGACGCUGAGGCACGAAGCGUGGGAGCAAACAGG
rnacentral:rRNA from 1 species